rnacentral:misc_RNA from 1 species
AAAGUCGUAACAAGGUUUCCGUAGGUGAACCUGCGGAAGGAUCAUUAUUGAUUUUAAAUGGAUGUGCUGACCUCUCACAAGGGGGUAUGUGCACUCCUAACAAAAACCAAUAUCCACCUGUGCACUCUUUGUAGGCAAUGGGGUACUUUGUAACAAAAGUCACCCCCUGUCUAUGUUUCUUUCACAAACACCAUUUGAACUUCUCUGAAUGAUAUUUGUGAUAUAAACACAAUUGUAAUACAACUUUCAACAAUGGAUCUCUUGGUUCUC